CGGGCCGGGCGCGGCGGCGGACGGAGGGUCGGCGGAGGAGCCCCGGGGCGGCGGCCGCUGCACCCGCUGCCUGUCGUCUGCGAGGUGUCCGGCCGCCCGCCCGGGGCCCCUUUUGCAGGCUCGGUGCCCGGAGUGCGCCGGCGCCGCCUGCCCGGUCUUGGCACCGCCCGCGCGGCCCCGGCAGCGAGGGCCAGGCUCCAGAUCCCCGACCUCCGUGAGCACUGACUCCAUACGUCCGCUAUUUGGACUCCAUGUCUUCUGCAUAUUUAUGGUCGCCCGUCACAUUCCCUCGCCGCUGGGUUUCCGUUGACAGUUUCCAAAACACUCGGGCAAGGAGGAGCUCGGGGAUGCUGCCCUGCAGCCCUCAGUCAAGAGGAUCUUAAGCAUUGUCCCUAAAUCACCUGCCCUGACCCUUGAAUACUAUUACCUUCGAGAAUGUCCUGCUGCCGCAAAUUGCCCGUGACGUCAGAGAUGCCGCGAUAUCCUUGCUCUGCAGUUGAAAUUCCAACGGUUUUAGGAACUCUGUGCCAGGAGCCAGGGCGAAGACCAGAUACGCAUUUCUUAUGAAAUCCCAAUAUUGCCCAUCCACCGUGGACACUUCCUUGAGCAGACGCUUCAACAGAGCAGAGGACAGCGCAAGGGUGACGAUGCCCAGUUGAGGACGAUGGAGAGGAUAUCUUCUGUGGGAGGGAGGAAGGAGACUGGGAGCCCGUCACACGUUUCCCAGCGGGUUCACCAGGGAUGUCUCCCAAGCUCUGUAAACGUAGCAUACCUUCACUCCUGAAGCUGUGGCACCCUCUCUUACGAGUUCCAUUCCCCUCUCCCUGGUUUGCUGACACUACAAACCUUGGUUAUUUGUCCUUAUCUCUUUGCUUUACCUAUUUUCACCCUGCAGACGUUCUUUGUUUUGUCCCCCAGCCAUCCCAGCUACUAUUACCCUAGGAGAGUCCUUCCAUGUGUCUCUCCUGGAAGAUUUCAGCAGAGGGGGGCAGAAAGGCCUGCAGACUCUGGAGUCAGACUCCCCAGGUUUCCUUGGUUGCUCUAUACUUACUAGCUUUGACCCCCUGACAACUGACUUAACCCCCUGCUCUUCUGUCUCCUCCUGUCACUUGAGAUGCACAAUAGCAUUUGUGACCUUCAGUCAUAGCGAGGAUUAAGUGAAAUCCAACGUGGAAAAUGCUUGGAAUGGUGCCUAGCAUGUCACAAAUACACAAUAAACCCUAGAGACAUUUCAAAAGCCUCCUAACUGGCUUCACUACCUUCUCAUCUCUCUCUCUCUCUCAGUUUCUUUAUUCCCCACAUGCUGGGCAGAUUGGUCUCUAUAAUACAUCUGAACAAGGCACUUCCCCCCGGAACACUUUUCAUGAUGCUUUGGACCUCCUUAAGCUGGCUCCGGGCUAUCUGCCCAGUGUCAUCUCCUGCCACGUCUCUGCUGCACUCUGCUCUCCUGGUCCUCGCACCUUCGUCUGUGUUCCCAUCUCUGUGCUUUGGGGGCUCUUGCCCUGGGAUUUCCUUCUUUCUCCUUUCCUCCUUGGCAAUCCACCUCCCAUCCUUCCAGGCACAGGUUAGAUGUCAUAUCCUCUGUGAAAACUUUCCUGAAACUCCCCCUCUUCAUCACCAAGUCAUUUUGGUGGUUUCAUCUUCUGUAGUCCCAUGGCAAUUUGUAUACAUCCUUCCACCUUAACCCAGCACAAUGUGAAUGUGCACCCCACACCACUGUGCCCCAUGGAGGGGGACGUCAUCCCAUCCUGCAUAUCUUGGUUUCCACAGGAUUUCCUCAUGACUUGAUCCCUGUAUACCUGUUAAAGAAAAAGAGACAAUAGGCCCAAAAUGGAGUUACUUGUGCUAAGGCCAAUGUCAGCAAAUCAAGGCUUAAUACUUACCCUAAUUGCAGUUUCAGAUUCUCCCAGGAAUGUGAUCCUUAUCUAGUCAACCUGGAAUUACCUGAUCAGCCUUAGUGAGGUGAUCCGCAUGCUAGACCCCUGCCCUUCCCCCAAAGGAAGCUUGCCCCAAAUGGUCCAAUCUAUUAAAACUGUCUUUCCUACCCCCUUCUGCCUGUAAAAUCUUCCAUUUUGUACCCUUCCUUGGAGCUCCUUUUUACUUGUUGGAUGGGAUGCCGCAUGAUUCAUGUAUUGUUGAAUA